rnacentral:lncRNA from 1 species
GUAAAAGCAUGAAGCUCACUGGGCUUCAUAGAGAUGGUAACGAUGACUGGCCAUCUGAGAAGAAGACUGGCCAAAUGGACCUACCACUCACUGACAAUUUAUUAGUUAACGUUAUUGAAUACCUUUUUUUUUGCUGAGGAAGAUUCACCCUGAGCUAACGUCUGCUGCCAGUCUUCCUCUUUGUGUACAUGAGCCACCGCCACAGCAUGACCACGGGCAGACGAGUGGUGUAUCCACCCCCAGGACCCGAACGAGGGCCACCCAAGUGGAGUGCACCAAACCUAACCACUGGCCACAGGGGCUGGCCCCUUGAAUGCCUUCUUAUCAAGGAAAAAGAAUUAAGUUUGAGUCAAGCUUCAAAAGCUGCAGUUAUACAUUUGGUUGUUCUCAUCCCUGUGAUCAAAUAUUGAAGGCGAAGUUGGGAAAAUCGAUAUAAGGUGGAGGCGAGGAGUUCCAGAAGGGCCACAGGAAUGAAACAUCGAGCCCCACAAAUCAAGAGCAGGUUUGAAACCCUAGACCUCUUGCAGGACUGCUAUUGAACUCUGUUCUAGAAUUGUGAGAAAUCAAUAGGAAAAAGCAUAUGCCAGGAACAACUUAAAGAAAAAAAAUGUCUUCAAUGACCUAAAAAAGCAAGACUCGAAAUGCUCCCAUCAGUCGGCUUGUGGCCUGGGAAAAGUGCCGAUAUCAAAGAAGAGUGCGGAUGGACUCAGAAUCACAAGACACACGUCUUCCUUUCCGGACCUCCAGAGGGCAGCUGUCUCUGAAAUUUGGACAAAGCAGGAAGAACUCUCCAUGUCGCAACUCUGGAGACCCCAGGGAGACACACUCCAGAGAGGGACGACUCGAGAAAGACAGCUCCGUCUGUUCCCUCAGCUCCUGGUGGAUCUGCAGGACAAUGAUUCUGGCAGGGGACCAGAGCCCAGCCAGGGCGAAGGCGCUCCUCUCUCCCUGUCCAGAGAGGAGAAGGGAUGCAGGUCCCCUCCCUCAUGUGGCACCGAUGCCCCUGCGAAUUCACCAAGCUGGUCAGUGAGAGCUGCAUCUUCACACUUGUCUGUUUGUAACUCCUCUUCCUGUAAGAACAAGCCCACACACAGUCUUUCAAGGUAUUGAUUUUCAGUCUAAAUAUUAAAUCCAUAUUGAAGAAGAAAGGAUGCCUAAUUAAUAAGGCGCCCCGCUCCCCAAUCUAGUGCAAUAAUAAAGACAUCAUAGCAUGCUUACUUUCUGCUUCC